CAAGUGGUAGGAAGCCGAAGGUGACCGACCUCGGGAGCUUGCACAGGUGCUGGCAUGGCUGUCGUCAGCUCGUGUCGUGAGAUGUUCGGUUAAGUCCGCUAACGAGCCGCAACCCUCGCUGUGUGUUACAAGUGUCACACAGGACCGCCGGUCUUAAGCCGGAGGAAGGUGGGGAUGACGUCAAGUCAGCAUGGCCUUUAUGUCCAGGGCUACACACACGCUACAAUGGUCAGCACAAUAGGUAGCCAAGCCGCGAGGUGGAGCCAAUCCUCAAAGCUGGCCUCAGUUCAGAUCGCAGGCUGCAACCCGCCUGCGUGAAGCCGGAGUUGCUAGUAACCGCAGGUCAGCUAUACUGCGGUGAAUACGUUCCCGGGGCUU
rnacentral:rRNA from 1 species